AUUGAACGCUGGCGGCAGGCCUAACACAUGCAAGUCGGACGGUAGCACAGAGGAGCUUGCUCCUUGGGUGACGAGUGGCGGACGGGUGAGUAAUGUCUGGGGAUCUGCCCGAUAGAGGGGGAUAACCACUGGAAACGGUGGCUAAUACCGCAUAACGUCGCAAGACCAAAGAGGGGGACCUUCGGGCCUCUCACUAUCGGAUGAACCCAGAUGGGAUUAGCUAGUGGGCGGGGUAAUGGCCCACCUAGGCGACGAUCCCUAGCUGGUCUGAGAGGAUGACCAGCCACACUGGAACUGAGACACGGUCCAGACUCCUACGGGAGGCAGCAGUGGGGAAUAUUGCACAAUGGGCGCAAGCCUGAUGCAGCCAUGCCGCGUGUAUGAAGAAGGCCUUCGGGUUGUAAAGUACUUUCAGCGGGGAGGAAGGGAGUAAAGUUAAUACCUUUGCUCAUUGACGUUACCCGCAGAAGAAGCACCGGCUAACUCCGUGCCAGCAGCCGCGGUAAUACGGAGGGUGCAAGCGUUAAUCGGAAUUACUGGGCGUAAAGCGCACGCAGGCGGUUUGUUAAGUCAGAUGUGAAAUCCCCGGGCUUAACCUGGGAACUGCAUUUGAAACUGGCAGGCUUGAGUCUUGUAGAGGGGGGUAGAAUUCCAGGU
rnacentral:rRNA from 1 species